GCCAUGCUGGCUGCGCCGCUCAGGCUGCUCCGCCGCUGCCGCCGCCUGCCUGGCCCGGCCCCGGCCCCGGCCCCGGCAGCGCCGCGCCCCGCGCCCCGCAGGACUGUGUUCCUGAGAGGGGGCGUAGCCAUGGCCAGUGGAGGGAAGGGUCGCCGGCUCAGCAGUCCUCGUUAUACCAACCGUCUGAUUAACGAAAAGUCUCCCUACCUCCUUCAGCAUGCCCACAACCCCGUGGAUUGGUACCCGUGGGGCCAGGAGGCCUUUGAUAAAGCCAAAAAAGAAAACAAACUGAUCUUUCUGUCAGUCGGCUAUUCCACCUGCCACUGGUGCCACGUGAUGGAGGAGGAGUCCUUCAAGAACAAGGAGAUUGGCCGGAUUCUCAAUGAGAACUUUGUCUGCAUAAAAGUGGAUCGGGAGGAGCGGCCCGAUGUGGAUAAAGUCUACAUGACCUUCGUGCAGGCAACCAGCAGUGGAGGGGGCUGGCCGAUGAGCGUGUGGCUGACUCCCGAUCUCAAACCCUUUGUAGGCGGGACGUAUUUUCCCCCUGAAGAUGGAAUUUACCGAGUCGGCUUUAAGACUGUGCUGCUGCGAAUUGUUGAUCAGUGGAAGCGAAACCAAGAGGCCCUUUUGGAGAGCAGCCAGAGGAUCACAGAUGCACUGCUCACAAGGGCUGAGGUUGGCAUCAGGGGCAAGGAGUCGCCCCCACCUUCAUCUGAGGUGAUGACCCGAUGCUUCCAGCAGCUGUCCGAGUCGUACGACGAGGAAUAUGGCGGCUUUUCAGAGUUUCCCAAGUUCCCCACACCAGUCAAUUUGAACUUCCUCUUCACAUACUGGGCCCUGCACCGGACCUCUCCUGAUGGUGCACGGGCCUUGCAGAUGGCUCUGCACACCCUCAAGAUGAUGGCCUAUGGUGGGAUUCAUGAUCACAUUGCCCAGGGAUUCCACCGCUACUCCACUGACCAGAGGUGGCACGUUCCUCACUUUGAGAAGAUGCUGUACGACCAGGGGCAGCUGGCAGCAGCAUAUGCCAAGGCAUUUCAGAUUUCUGGCGAUGAAUUCUUUGCAGAUGUUGCCGCCGACAUCCUGCUCUAUGUUUCCCGGGAUUUGAGUGACAGGGCCGGAGGGUUCUACAGUGCAGAGGACGCGGAUUCCUAUCCCACAGCCAAGUCCAAAGUGAAGCAGGAAGGGGCUUUCUGCGUGUGGACGGCAGAGGAAAUCCGGGCCCUCCUUCCGGACCCUUUGGAGGGGGACUCAGACAGGAAGACGCUGGCAGACAUCUUCAUGCAUCACUAUGGGGUGAAGGAGGGCGGGAAUGUAAGCCCCAUGAAGGACCCAUACAAUGAGCUGAAAGGCAAGAACAUCCUGAUUGUGCAAUAUUCCCUGGAGCUGACAGCAGCCAGGUUCGGUCUGGAGCUGGACCAUCUGAAGGCCAUGCUGGCCAAGAGCCGGGAGCGGCUGUCAGAGGUCCGCACCCAGCGACCACGGCCCCAUCUGGACUCCAAGAUGCUGGCAUCCUGGAACGGGCUGAUGAUCUCGGGCUUUGCUCAGAGCGGGGCCAUCCUUGGCAAGGAGGAGUACGUCAGCCGGGCCAUGCGUGCUGCUGACUUCCUGCGAAGCCACUUGUUUGAUGCCAGCACUGGGCGCCUCCUUCGCAGCUGCUACCGGGGCAAAGACAACAUAAUAGAGCAGAGCACCGUGCCCAUCCAGGGCUUCCUGGAGGAUUAUGUCUUUGUGAUCCAGGCCCUCUUUGACCUGUAUGAGGCCUCGCUGAACCCGAGCUGGCUGGAAUGGGCCGUGCAGCUCCAGCACAAGCAGGAUGAGCUCUUCUGGGACAACAAAGGCUUUGCCUAUUUCUCCAGUGAGGCUGGAGACUCCUCACUGCUCCUCCGCUUGAAGGAUGACCAAGAUGGGGCAGAGCCCAAUGCCAACUCCGUCGCUGUCACUAACCUGCUCAGGGCAGCCUGUUACUCCGGCCAUAUGGACUGGGUGGAGAAAGCUGGACAGAUCCUGGCAGCCUUUUCAGAGAGGCUGCUGAAGAUCCCUGUGGCUCUGCCAGAGAUGGCUCGAGCCACUGCAGCCUUUCACCGCACCCUGAAACAGGUCGUUAUCUGCGGGGACCCAGAAGGAGACGACACUAAAGAGCUGCUGCGCUGCAUCCACUCCAUCUUCUCUCCAAACAAGGCGCUGAUGCUGGCGGACGGAGACAGCACCGGGUUCCUGUACUGCCAUUUGCCCUUCCUCUCCUCUCUGGAAAAGAAAGAUGGAAAAGCCACUGCAUAUCUCUGUGAAAACUUUGCCUGCUCUCUGCCUGUCACCUCCACCCAGGAGCUGCGCAAGCUGCUGCUGCUAAAGCAACAAAUCAAGGGCAGAUCCCAGCGUUAAUGUUCACUUCAGGUUGCGAAGAAGUCAGACAAGUAAACUAUUUGGGUUCCUAUAGCAACACCAGGUAACAUUUCUGAAAAGCCCCCGAGUGACUUAGGAGCUAAGCCAGUUUGAAAAUGUUACCCUUCAGCACAGCUACCCAUUCUGAUGUGGUAUUUUUCCAUGACUGGAUUGCUUGUAAAAUACAUGACUUAAUAUGCAGUGCAGGCAAGGUUGCUGAUUGGACAUGGCUGAUGGGACAUAGCUGCUGAAGCAUGAAUGCAAUGAGAACCUGGAGCGUUUGCAUCCAGGUAAAUACUAGUGCUGUGGUAGCUUUGCAAGGUAUGAAUGUGGAUGAUGUAGAUGGGUGCCAAAGGUUGCCUCCACCCCCACCAUGUCCCAGCUCUAAUUGGGGGCUGGUAAUUUGGGCAGGGGAGUCAAAGGUGGCCUGAACCAACCUAGCCCUAUCUGCCCCUGGGAGGACCUUUGACCCUGCAGUAGAACUUGGGGUUUGCUAACUCUUUUCCUUGAGUGUGCAUGUACACAGACAUACUCUUGCUGCCUCCUGUGUGCCAUCACCAGACAGAUUUUGGCUCUUUGCAGAGUGACAGAUGAGUGUGCAUGACAUUUGCUGAUUUAUUUUCCUUUCUGAUUGGCCGAAGCAGUCCCAUGUGACUUAAGCACCAGGCUGCAGCUUAUCUAGUUGCUCACUGCUCUACUAGAUGGUUCCCAACUCUUGUUAAGAAGAGGUAUGCCUGAUCUAAUUUGCUCUAUUAUAAUUGGGAUGGGACUGGUUUCACCCUCCUGGCUCUGACAGACCCUGGAACCAAAAACUAACCUUGACUUUGAACCUUACUGCAUCCUGGUUGGAAACCUCCUGUCUCUUAUUUAGCCUUUUUAAGCAGGUGCUAAGGCUACAUGUAUAGUCAUGCAGGUACGUGGUGUAUGCAAGAGAUGAUGCAGAGACGCUACAGUCUAGGGUUAUAUUGGGAGUGGGAAAUGAAGCAGGAAUUUGGUGCAAUAAAUCAUUAUGGCAACACAAAGCAGCUGUGUUAGGUAAGCUGGACCAUACCCUGAGCUGGGGGCCUUGCUGCACUCCAGCAGGGCUAAUCAGUUCUGUUUCUGUUCGAGUCACUUGGAACAGGGCGGCACAGGGGAGGUGACAUGGAGGUUGUCCCUUGGUGUUUUAGUUUGCCAGGCUCUAUGCCAUGGUCCAAGCAAUGCAGUCAUUUCAGAGAGCUUUUGCUUCUUGAUUGCCAGUGCUCUGGGGGCGGUAAUGAAGUCGGGUCCUAGUGCUUCGCUUAGGAAAUGUUUGCAAUGCUGAAAACGAAGCACUUUUGAUGGAGCAUUGCAGACUGCUGAAGAGCUUACAUUCAGAAACAUAGGUAUGCCGCUUCAUGGGAAGCAGGGUUCAGGGAUUUUCUGCCCUCUGGUUUCACUCUGAGCUGGGCUUCCUGAGCGCACUACGUCUGCUGCAAGCCACCUGGCAUCUUGCUGAGCUGCUGCAGUGCUUCAUGGAGGAUGUUGUUCAGCUGGGGAGCCAGCUCCUAGAGCAGUGGUUCUCAGCCUCGGUAGACUCAAGGUCCCCCUUGGAAAAUGCCAGCUCUUGUUUUUUGACUGAGACAAAAUAAUAGAGCAAUUUUUCUGUUGCAGAGAACUCAGAUCCCAGCAGGUGAGAAUGCUUUUAACACUAUAGAUUCCUAUUUGAAAUCUCUGGGUUUCUCCUAUGCAUCAUAUUUGCACCACUAUCCAUGCUAACACUGUAUGGUACCCCGUGGCACUCUUGAAAGGAUCUCAAGGCACCCUAGGGUGGUGUGGCACUCUGGUUGAGAGUGGCCAUCCUAGAGGAGAAUGGCAGCACAAGGCACUGGGCCUUCCAUCCCUGUGAUGCUCCUCGGUGGCAUUUUCAGAUUAAAUUUUCUUCAGAUUUUGGAUCUUAGGUGUUCCAAUGGAAAGUUAUUUUACAUGGAAAACAGACCUGUCUUGUGAAGGAGAAUAUGAAGCAGAAACCCCAAAUUUUCACCACUGGUCAGCUGUUUCAACUGAAAAUAAUAAGAGAUGAAGCUGAUCUGACACCCAAUGUGCCACAGACCUCAGAGGGGGCAGGAUGAAGCAGAGGAAGCUGGCAGUGAAGCUGGCAGUGCAGCCACAGCUCAGUGCCUGAGUCUCUGCGUGAUCAAACUAUCCCAAAGGGGACACAGUGCAACUCGGCUAUGUCACAGUUCACUGGCUGGGGAGUUGGCUCAGACCCAGGUCGGACCCAGAGAGUGGUAGUUGAUGGAAGUCAAUCAUUGUGGUGUGCUGCGACCAGUGGGGUCCCCCAAGGCUCUGUCCUUGGGCCUGUACUCUUUAACAUCUUCAUUAAUGAUGUGGAUAUUGGUAUCAGAAGCGGACUGGCCAAGUUUGCCGAUGACACCAAACUUCAGGGUAAAGUGUCCAUACCUGAGGACAAGUUGGUGAUCCAGGCUGACCUUGACAGGCUCAGAACAUGGGCGGACGAAAACUUGAUGGCAUUCAACUCCGAAAAAUGCAAGGUACUCCACCUUGGGAAGAAAAACCCACUGCAUGCUUAUAGGCUUGGCAGUGCUACGCUUGCUAGCACCGCAGCCGAAAGGGGCUUGGGGGUCAUGGUUGAUCACAAGAUGAAUAUGAGCUACCAAUGCGACGUCGCAACAGGUAAAGUGAGCAAAACUCUGGCUUGCAUCCAUAGAUGCUUCUCAAGCAAAUCCCAGGAUGUCAUCCUCCCACUGUACUCGGCCUUGGUGAGGCCGCAGCUGGAGUACUGCAUCCAAGUCGGCUCCACAAUUUAAAAAAGAUGUGGAGAAGCUUGAUAGAGUGCAGAGGAGAGCCACGCACAUGCUCAGAGGUCAGGAAAACAGGCCUUAGGAUGAGAGGCGGAGAGCCAUGGGACUCUUCAGCCUGAAGAAGCACAGGCUCAGGGGUGACCUAGUGGCCACCUAUAAGUAUAUAAGGGGUGCUCACCAGGAUCUGGGGGAACGCCUGUUCACCAGAGCACCCCAAGGGACGACAAGAUCAAAUGGUUACAAACUCCUCCAAGACCGUUUCAGACUGGACAUAAGGAAGAACUUCUUUACUGUCCGAGCCCCCAAGGCCUGGAACGGACUGUCGCCAGAGGUGGUGCAAGCACCUACUCUGGACUCCUUUAAGAAAUGUUUGGAUGCUUAUCUUGCUGGGAUCCUUUGACCCCUGCUGUCUUCCUGCCCCUGGGGCAGGGGGCUGGACUCGAUGGUCUUCUGAGGUCCCUUCCAGCCCAAAUGUCUAUGAAAUCAUCUCAGCAGGAGUUUUUAUGAGACCAACACCAGCAUUAUGGCAGCUCUGGAUUCAGAGUUCAUUAAAAACUGCUCACAUUAUUUACUGCACAUAGAUCUGAGGGAGACAUUUUUAAUAAUCUCUUCCAUCCAGGCAGAGACGGGAUGAUGUCUGUAAUGACAUGAGAUCCCUUUGGAGGAAUGUGAACUUUAUUCUCGCCCUCCUUCCCCCUUUCUGUUUGCAAACAGGCAAGCACAGUGCUUUCAAAGUCUCUCUGAUAUUGUCAGGCUCCCUUUGGAAAACAGGCUGCUUUUCCCCCCUUGUUUCCUCUGCCAACGAGAGAUGUUGUAAUCUGGAGGCGUGAAUGCAGGGGAAACCAGAGCUUUGUACUGCCUCUUGCCAGCUGGUUGUUUUAAGAGCUUUCCAGUGGGAUAUGCCAGGAAUCGGGGGGUAACUGGCCAGGAGACAUGUGUUUGAAGUCGAAGAGGAAUUUUGCACCUCAUCUUGUGAAUACUUGCUUCGCCUGUAGAAGAGAUGGGGGGGUGGGGAUUAGGAAGAGGCCAAAGGGGUUUUUUGAGAUUCCAUCAGAAAAUUGCUGGCACUGGCAAAUGGCUGAUCUCUCUUCUGCCUCCGCACCUUUGUCCUUUGGAAGUAAUCUGCUCUCAGGCAGCCUCCUGCUUUCAAGCUCCACCGUGGCUAGAGCGGGUGGUCGCGUGGGAUGGGAGCGAAGGCACUCUCAGAGCAACUCAACAUGCAGCGCAUCAGAGUGGUUUGGAGGAAUUGGUUAGACGGAGGGAGGCGUUUGUUGAUGGCUGUUUAGGGGGAAGCCCAGAUACCUUGAGCUUGUUUUCUGGGGACGGGCCCAAAGCACAGGCCCUUUGAGCUUGCCAUGGGGAAGCAUCUGGCCUUCUCACACCAUAUAAGAUACACUUGCUUCUCCGGUCUCUCAUGAGCUGACCACUUCACAUCAAGCUGGUGUUGCGUUGCAGCACACGGUGCUGGCUGCUGGACUCAGUGGACCCAUGCAACACUGCUUCUGUCGGGUUUGGCACCAGGAUCGUGCCUGUUCCUGAGCUCCCCUCCUUGCCCUGGAGGAGAGGUCCAGGUUGGCAGUGGGAGCACUGUCUGAACCCUCUCUUCAAUCACGUGCUGCUACCUCUUCCAGGUCACUCUGGCUGCCCUAGUCCCUCUCACGCGCUGUCUUGUUGAAUGCAGCCUCUCCAGAAGCUGCCAUCGGGUAGGAGCCUGCUGUAAACAAGCUGUCAGGUUUAAUUGGGCUGACCUGCUUAUAGAAGAAAAGAAAUCUCCUUAAUAAAUAAAUAAAACCCAGUUGUGGCAUCGUGGCUCUGGCAGCUACCACCCCCUCCUCCCCUUCCCAUUGGCAUGCUGUUUCCAGUGCGGGCUGCAAGCCUUUCCGAUCUGCUUGCUGUGGGGGGUUAAUGCCCUGACCUUCUGGGAUUAUUUUUUUGUUUGUGUUCUUCCCUUAACAUUUAAAGGUUUCCAGUGACUUGCUCUAGCCUGUGCUGCUUUGUCCUUUCAGUUCAUUAGCAGAGGAGUCCCAAGAGAAAUGAGUGUUUUUGGACCAUUCUUUCCCACAAGAGAGAGUCAAACCCAAAGAUGGGAAGAUCCUCAAUUCAGCUCUGGAUUUUAGAUCUGUUCCGGGGUGACCCUCUUCUCCUCGGAUCCGGGCUCCACAAUUCAAGAAGGACGUGGAGAAGCUUGAGAGAGCCAUGUGCACGCUCAGAGGGCAGGAGAACAGGCCUUGUGAAGAGAGGCAGAGAGCCAGGGGACUCUUCAGCCUGGAGAAGCGCAGGCUCAGGGGGGACCUGGUGGCUACCUAUGAAGACGUCAGCGUCAGCACCAGAAAGUCUCAUCCUCCAGCUAGACGCCACUGCAGCAAUAGGAGUUCCCAGGCACAGCUGUCAGGUUCGCCACUGCCGAAGGGCUGGGGUGUUCCCGUGGGGCGCUGCUGUGAGUGCAGAGCGUGGAGCUGGCAUUGCUGGAGAGGCAUGAAAGACCCAGCAUCCUGCAGUCAGGACAAGAGGCAUGACCAAGCCAGAAGGGGCAGGAGGAGUCCCAGCAGCUGGUGCUGGAUGAGGAAUGGACAUCCCAUGGCACCGGCAGUGCUGGGAGGGCUUCCCAAAGUGGGCAUGUGGGAUACAUGAGGCCUCGCAACUUUGAGACGAAUCUUUAGUGGGAAGUAUCUCCUGAGAAGCGGGCGCUGCUGGGAGGAAGCUCCCUCCACAGGAAAGGGAGGCAUGGCAAGGGGUGUCAAGCCUCUGUGCCCGCCAAUGCCGCUGCCACCAUCUGCAUUCCCGGAGCCAUGCCCCUCUGACCCAAGAGACGGAGCAGCCGCAGAAGCAAGAAGUUAAACUCGCACCAAGACGCUUCCUUCCUCAUUACAUUUCCUGCCAGUAACUCACCAAUUUCCCUGCAAAUUACGUUGAUUUGCUGAAACUGUUGUUUUCCACCCCUUGCUUGUCUGCACAAUUAAAUUAAGGUUUUGUUGACAGCCGCGUGGACAUGACAAGAAGCAGCGAUGUGAAAAGUUUCUGCUCAGUGACUCACAUGCUGAUUGUGUUCUGUUUGUAAUGGGGCUUGUGGCCUCUCCUGGGACUCGGGGCCACCGUUCCCAGCGUAUGCCGCGUGUGGGUUUCAGACUGUUCAUGAGCGUAUCAUCGGGGUAACGCAUACAGGGGCCGUUCAAGUUUAGCAGGGCCACAGCUGUAAUCUAAAUGAUCCUUGUUCAGAGGCACAUUGGUUUCACUAUCCAUCACUCAGAUCAUGAAACCAAUGGGGGUCUUUUCUGAGCAAAGGACCAGCACUUUGGAGGCAUUCAAACUGCUGGAUUGCAGAGAGGCAUCCAGUGGGAUUUUCCAAAUGACUGAAGAGUCCAUAUGUGACAGGAGACAGACUAUGGCCCAUGGUCCCUCAUGAGAAAAGGUGCCAGCACAGCCAUCUAGCAACGUUACAGUCGCUUAAAACAUUCAGGGCCACAAAGCCAUUCCACAUAGCCUGUUUUAAUAAGAGUGGCAUAAUGUCUGAUUCAGAAGGAUUUUUAUUUAAAUAAGAGAGGAACAUUGCAAUGUGAAACACUGUUUAUUUAACAGAAGGACAUGCUAUAGUGUAUUAUAUUUUUAUAACAGGGAACACUGUAGUAUCUUUACUAUUAUAAUACACUGUUUUUUGAAGGGCAGAAUAUCGAAGUGUGCGCCAUACUAGUUUGUUAAAUAAAUUUACCUUUUCUGUCCCCAUUUGUUGGGUUUUUUGCACAUUUUUUUUUCCAUCUAGCCUUCCUCUGUGAACCUAUUUGGAGAAAAAGGAGUGUUCAAUGCUCUCUUCAGGGCUGGAAUAAAAGAAUCAGGCCAGGUAUUUUUCAGGAAGAAUGGUUCUCAGACUGCAGUCCCUGCUACUUUGGGAGUGUGGAGAGCUGCUCACAUGUUUCAACCCCCUUCCCUGUGUUUACAGCUGCUAAAUUAUGUCAACGGAGGCUAAACAUGCAUGAAAUGAAUCCCUGACUUAUUUCUCCCUGCAAACCAUUGCUGUAGCUGUCACCUGGAACUGCAAAGAGGUGAGAAGGUAACGGUGUUGCCCGCUGUCUUGAUUUUUAUUGUUUGGGGGAUAUUUGGUGUUGGUCUUGAAUCCCCAACUCCUGGAAUCGUGGGAAUCUGCUUCCUCGUGCAAAAAGUCACUGUUGUGGUGCCAAGGACAAGCAUGACAACUGUAACAGCUCAGAUAGCAAAGAAAAGAAAGCCAACGCAUAUUAAAAUCUCAUGAUUUAAUUUUGAA